rfam:Choanephora cucurbitarum strain KTS-F28377 scaffold_1169, whole genome shotgun sequence.
GUCGAUCUGUCCGAGUGGUUAAGGAGCUACACUCGAAAUGUAGUAGGCUCUGCCUGCACAGGUUCGAAUCCUGUGGUCGACG